rfam:Triticum aestivum genome assembly, contig: Triticum_aestivum_CS42_TGACv1_scaffold_032939_1BL
AAUGUACUCCCUCCGUCCCAAAAUUCGUGUCUUAGAUUUCUCUAGAUACGGAUGUAUCAAGUCACAUUUUAGUAUUAGAUACAUCCGUACUAGACAAAUCUAAGACAAGAAAUUUGGAAUAGAGGGAGUAGUUG